CCCUUCUGUGACCUACCUAUCGUUGCUUCGGCGGACUCGCCCCAGCCCGGACGCGGACUGGACCAGCGGCCCGCCGGGGACCUCAAACUCUUGUAUUCCAGCAUCUUCUGAAUACGCCGCAAGGCAAAACAAAUGAAUCAAAACUUUCAACAACGGAUCUCUUGGCUCUGGCAUCGAUGAAGAACGCAGCGAAACGCGAUAAGUAAUGUGAAUUGCAGAAUCCAGUGAAUCAUCGAAUCUUUGAACGCACAUUGCGCCCGCCAGCAUUCUGGCGGGCAUGCCUGUUCGAGCGUCAUUUCAACCCUCGACCUCCCCUUGGGGAGGUCGGCGUUGGGGACCGGCAGCACACCGCCGGCCCUGAAAUGGAGUGGCGGCCCGUCCGCGGCGACCUCUGCGCAGUAAUACAGCUCGCACCGGGACCCCGACGCGGCCACGCCGUAAAACACCCAACUUCUGAACGUUGACCUCGAAUCAGGUAGGACUACCCGCUGAACUUAAGCAUAUCAAA
rnacentral:rRNA from 1 species